rnacentral:rRNA from 1 species
AGUGAACGCUGGCGGUAGGCCUAACACAUGCCAGUCGAACGGCAGCACAGUAAGAGCUUGCUCUUACGGGUUGCGAGUGGCGGACGGGUGAGGAAUACAUCGGAAUCUACUUUUUCUUGGGUGAUAACGUAGGGAAACUUACGCUAAUACCUCAUACGACCUACGGGUGAAAUCAGGGGAUCUUCUCACCUUUCGCGUUUGAAUUAGCCAAUGUCGGAUUACCUUGUUGGCUUGGUAAAGGCCCACCAAGGCGACGAUCCGUAGCUGGUCUGAGAGGAUGAUCAGCAAAAAUGGAAGAGAGACACGGACCAGACUCCUACGGGAGGGAGAAGGGGGGAAUAUUGGACAAUGGGCGAAAGCAUGAUCCAGGCAUACCGCGUGGGUGAAGAAGGCCUUCGGGUUGUAAAGCCCUUUUGUUGGGAAAGAAAAGCAGCAGGAUAAAACCCCGCUGUUCUGACGGUACCCAAAGAAUAAGCACCGGCUAACUUCGUG